UUUUUGUACAACCUGUUUUCUCGAUACAACACAAUUUACAGCAAGACAACCAAACUAUAUUCCUUCAAAAAAUAGCAAUAGUUUACAUGACAAUACAGAUUUCCAACAAUCAAAUCUGAUUUGAAAAAGCAAAGCUAAUAUCAAAACAUCCCGAGCACAUCUAGAAAGCGCUAUGAGUUUUUUUUGUAAAGAGUGAGUUACAUGACUUAAAAGAAAAUGCACUGCUAGCUGAUUUUAAUCUCCAACAGCAACGAUUGAAGGCAGCUUCCGAACCCAAGUAAUUCCUGCUAAAAAACUUCAGUCUCCAGUAACAUGGAUUAACUGCCAAACCUGUGUAGAAUCAGAACGCAUUCAAAAUUAUAAUAUGUUAUAAAAAGCAAGCUCCCAAAUGAAUACAGAUAGUAACAUUAGUUGACUUUCCGAGCAAUCAUCCGUGGACACACCACUACUAUACUAAGGUACCAGUACCACGUAAACGUGUGCAACACAUGUGAAAACAAGCAAAAUUAGUCCAAAGAAAACUGCAUCAAAUAAAAGUAUAAUCGAGUUAGACUACAAGUGACAACAAACACACAUCACAGAACUAAAAGUGCAGCAGUUGGUUCAGCCAUUGGUUCUGGACCGAACAAACAGUAAGUGCAUGGGGUUAACCAGGCUGGGAGCUGUCUAUUUUCUGGCUUAGCAAACAAACAUGAGAUUUCUCAAAGAAAGCAAACAAACAUGAUACAGACAAGUACUUAGUUUUUUUUGUGAGAGGAAUUUGUGUGCCCGUACAGAUAUUUAGUUUAUCUGAAUCAAUCAUUUCUGUACUCUAAAAGAAAUGUGAACAAAAGUGAGAGAGACAAGCACUUAGUUUUUUUAGUGAGAGGAAGCUGUGCGUGCAUGUACAACCACUUGGUUUUUCUGGAUCAAAAUUUUCUAUACAAGCGAUCAGCUGAAAAUUAGACACUGCACCACACCAUUCCUUGAAAAAAAGAAUGUCAGUAAAGAAGUGACAGACUAACUUCAAGAUAAUUAACACAAACCGGGCAUAAACAUAGGCUUGUACAGACUAACUUCAAAUCAAAAUAUGUAAUGUUGUGGACUAUAUUAACUCAAUGUUUAAAUCAGAAUCGGCACCGAAGGAUUUUUCAUCUAACUCGAUGUUUAUGCUGCAAGUUCAUAUCAAAGCACCGACAAAUAUAGUAUAAAAAAUACUUGCUUGCCAAGUGAACUUCAAAUGGCAUGCAAAAUUUAACAAAUAUUAUGAUACAGUUUCACUGAGAGACCUCCCACACUAAUAGUUUAUUUGUGGAGUACUAAGCGGUAUUACUUGUUAUUACAUGAAAAAUUCAAAAUCUGUACAGACACACUUAGAACCCAUGAACACCCAAGAGAUAGCAACUCUAAUGGAGUAUCAAUAAAAUGCAUAAUAUCAGGGAGAUUGUACAAUGCGGAUUUUAUGCACACAAAAAUAUCUGUAGAGUUAUAUUUUUACUGGAACCACACAACAGUCCAGACCUUGAACAACUCAAAAUAUACAGCCUGAAUAAUUCACAUCAAGAAUGGAUCGGUAUGAAGCUCACCCUGUUCUGCUCGAGGACCGUGGCAUUGGCGUCGAUCAGGUGGGAGAUGUACUGACUAUAAUGUGCAAAGCAAAGAUAUUAGUGUGACAAUUGGAUAUCUCAUUUCAUUAUUACCGAAAUGCAAAUGUUGUCUCAACUGAACCGAAUUCUUUAAGAACUAUGCCUUCCCAAAUGUCUAAAUUUACUAACUGAAUUCUUAACGAAUUGAUUCAAUUGCAUACUAACUGAACUAAGAAGGAACAAUUUACAUUGGGCAGCUGCACAUUACUUUCCCUUUCUUCAUGAUGAGGUUUGUCAUGCAUAAAGUAACAAGUAUCUAUUUACUACUUGGAAUUAAUGAUCUAGCAUUAGAAACCUGAAGUUGUGUAACACUGACCAUCCUUUGUUUAAUAAUAAAAAGAAUAUAUUUUCCAUCUUUGCAUUGGUAAGACUAAAACAAAUAUAUCAGACACCAUAUUACUCGUACUUGAAAUGUGCCAACUAAAAUGAAAUACCUAGGCCUCACCUGCCCUGAAUGUCCUGUGCUCAAUUAUGCAAAGUUCAGACUUACAGAAUUCAUGUGAUAUCUAUCUUGUUAACCUUAGGUAUGCUAUCAAAGUGAAAAUGUAAGCCUUAUAACCUAUGUUGAAUAUAGACAAGGAACCAAAAGUGAUCAGUCACAAGCGAAUGUUGCAAAUUCCAGCAGUACACACGAUUGUUAUCAGUUCCACCAAUAAUAUUCAUGAAUAGAACAUCAAAUAAUAUGAGCAGAUGUUGUAGAGGAGAGGGCGGAGGUCCAAGUGCUCACUGAAGAAGAUUGUAGGCGAUGUAGCCGUCGCAGUGCAGGUCGGCUACCACCGUCGCGUGGCGGAGGAGGCCGUCACAUGAUGCACGGGAUGCACAGCAGCGCCGGAGACGCAGCAAAGGAGGUCAGGGUCGACGCCAUACAGUCCAACACGCGUGAGCACACCGAGCUAGGAGGCG
rnacentral:lncRNA from 1 species